UACGUAGGGGGCAAGCGUUGUCCGGAUUUAUUGGGCGUAAAGAGCGUGUAGGCGGCCAGACAGGUCAGAUGUGAAAACUCGAGGCUCAACCUCGAGACGUCGGUUGAAACCGUCUGGCUAGAGUCCGGAAGAGGAGAGUGGAAUUCCCGGUGUAGCGGUGAAAUGCGCAGAUAUCGGGAAGAACACCCGUGGCGAAGGCGGCUCUCUGGGACGGUACUGACGCUCAGACGCGAAAGCGUGGGGAGCGAACAGG
rnacentral:rRNA from 1 species